rnacentral:rRNA from 1 species
GAUGAACGCUGGCGGCGUGCCUAAUACAUGCAAGUCGAGCGAACGGACGAGAAGCUUGCUUCUCUGAUGUUAGCGGCGGACGGGUGAGUAACACGUGGAUAACCUACCUAUAAGACUGGGAUAACUUCGGGAAACCGGAGCUAAUACCGGAUGAUAUUUUGAACCGCAUGGUUCAAAAGUGAAAGACGGUCUUGCUGUCACUUAUAGAUGGAUCCGCGCUGCAUUAGCUAGUUGGUAAGGUAACGGCUUACCAAGGCAACGAUGCAUAGCCGACCUGAGAGGGUGAUCGGCCACACUGGAACUGAGACACGGUCCAGACUCCUACGGGAGGCAGCAGUAGGGAAUCUUCCGCAAUGGGCGAAAGCCUGACGGAGCAACGCGGCGUGAGUGAUGAAGGUCUUCGGAUCGUAAAACUCUGUUAUUAGGGAAGAACAUAUGUGUAAGUAACUGUGCACAUCUUGACGGUACCUAAUCAGAAAGCCACGGCUAACUACGUG